GCCGAGGUGGCGAAACUGGCAGACGCGCAGGUUUUAGGAACCUGUGGAGGCAACUCCUUGGAGGUUCAAGUCCUCUCCUCGGCA
rnacentral:tRNA from 1 species